AGGGAAUCUUCGGCAACGGGCGAAAGCCUGACCGAGCAACGCCGCGUGAAUGAAGAAGGACUUCGGGUUGUAAAAUUCUGUUAUAAGGGAAGAAAGGUGAUAGGAGGAAAUGACUAUCAAUUGACGGUACCUUAUGAGAAAGCCACGGCUAACUACGUGCCAGCAGCCGCGGUAAUACGUAGGUGGCAAGCGUUAUCCGGAAUUAUUGGGCGUAAAGAGCGCGCAGGUGGUUAAUUAAGUCUGAUGUGAAAGCCCACGGCUUAACCGUGGAGGGUCAUUGGAAACUGGUUGACUUGAGUGCAGAAGAGGGAAGUGGAAUUCCAUGUGUAGCGGUGAAAUGCGUAGAGAUAUGGAGGAACACCAGUGGCGAAGGCGGCUUCCUGGUCUGCAACUGACACUGAGGCGCGAAAGCGUGGGGAGCAAAC
rnacentral:rRNA from 1 species